rnacentral:rRNA from 1 species
ACUCCUACGGGAGGCAGCAGUGGGGAAUAUUGCACAAUGGGCGCAAGCCUGAUGCAGCAACGCCGUGUGAGUGAAGAAGGUUUUCGGAUCGUAAAACUCUGUCCUAAGGGAAGAAAAAAUGACGGUACCUUAGGAGGAAGCCCCGGCUAACUACGUGCCAGCAGCCGCGGUAAUACGUAGGGGGCAAGCGUUAUCCGGAAUCACUGGGCGUAAAGGGUGCGUAGGCGGCUUAGCAAGCCAGAGGUGAAAGGCAUUGGCUCAACCAAUGUAAGCCUUUGGAACUGUUAAGCUUGAGUGCAGGAGAGGUAAGUGGAAUUCCUAGUGUAGAGGUGAAAUUCGUAGAUAUUAGGAGGAACACCAGUGGCGAAAGGCGACUUACUGGACUGUAACUGACGCUGAUGCACGAAAGCGUGGGUAGCGAACAGGAUUAGAUACCCUGGUAGGAUAGCC